CCUACGGGAGGCAGCAGUGAGGAAUUUUGGUCAAUGGGCGAGAGCCUGAACCAGCCACGUAGCGUGAAGGAUGACUGCCCUACGGGUUGUAAACUUCUUUUAUAUGGGAAUAAAACGUUCCACGUGUGGGUUUUUGUAUGUACCAUAUGAUUUAGGAUCGGCUAGCUCCGUGCCAGCAGCCGCGGUAAUACGGAGGAUCCGAGCGUUGUCUGGAUUUAUUGGGUGUAAAGGGAGCGUAGGUGGGUUGUUAAGUCAGUUGUGAAAGUUUGCGGCUCAACCGUAAAAUUGCAGUUGAAACUGGCAGUCUUGAGUGCAGUAGAGGUGAGCGGAAUUCGUGGUGUAGCGGUGAAAUGCUUAGAGAUCACGAAGAACUCCGAUUGCGAAGGCAGUUCACUGGACUGCAACUGACACUGAGGCUCGAAAGUGUGGGUAUCAAACAGGAUUAGAUACCCUGGUAGUC
rnacentral:rRNA from 1 species